CGGACAGUGUCUGGUGGGUAGUUUGACUGGGGCGGUCUCCUCCUAAAGAGUAACGGAGGAGCACGAAGGUUGGCUAAUCCUGGUCGGACAUCAGGAGGUUAGUGCAAUGGCAUAAGCCAGCUUGACUGCGAGCGUGACGGCGCGAGCAGGUGCGAAAGCAGGUCAUAGUGAUCCGGUGGUUCUGAAUGGAAGGGCCAUCGCUCAACGGAUAAAAGGUACUCCGGGGAUAACAGGCUGAUACCGCCCAAGAGUUCAUAUCGACGGCGGUGUUUGGCACCUCGAUGUCGGCUCAUCACAUCCUGGGGCUGAAGUAGGUCCCAAGGGUAUGGCUGUUCGCCAUUUAAAGUGGUACGCGAGCUGGGUUUAGAACGUCGUGAGACAGUUCGGUCCCUAUCUGCCGUGGGCGCUGGAGAACUGAGGGGGGCUGCUCCUAGUACGAGAGGACCGGAGUGGACGCAUCACUGGUGUUCGGGUUGUCAUGCCAAUGGCACUGCCCGGUAGCUAAAUGCGGAAGAGAUA
rnacentral:rRNA from 1 species